CUAGUAUAGCAUUAUACCGUGAAACUGCGAAUGGCUCAUUAAAUCAGUUAUCGUUUAUUUGAUAGUACCUUACUACUUGGAUAACCGUGGUAAUUCUAGAGCUAAUACAUGCUAAAAACCCCAACUUCGGAAGGGGUGUAUUUAUUAGAUAAAAAACCAACGCCCUUCGGGGCUUCUUGGUGAUUCAUGAUAACUUAACGGAUCGCAUGGCCUUGCGCCGGCGACGGUUCAUUCAAAUUUCUGCCCUAUCAACUUUCGAUGGUAAGGUAUUGGCUUACCAUGGUUUCAACGGGUAACGGGGAAUUAGGGUUCGAUUCCGGAGAGGGAGCCUGAGAAACGGCUACCACAUCCAAGGAAGGCAGCAGGCGCGCAAAUUACCCAAUCCCGACACGGGGAGGUAGUGACAAUAAAUACUGAUACAGGGCUCUUUUGGGUCUUGUAAUUGGAAUGAGUACAAUUUAAACCUCUUAACGAGGAACAAUUGGAGGGCAAGUCUGGUGCCAGCAGCCGCGGUAAUUCCAGCUCCAAUAGCGUAUAUUAAAGUUGUUGCAGUUAAAAAGCUCGUAGUUGAACCUUGGGUCUGGCUGGCAGGUCCGCCUCACCGCGUGUACUUGUCCGGCCGGGCCUUCCUUCUGGAGAACCUCAUGCCCUUCACUGGGCGUGUUGGGGACCAGGACUUUUACUUUGAAAAAAUUAGAGUGUUCAAAGCAGGCCUUUGCUCGAAUACGUUAGCAUGGAAUAAUAAAAUAGGACGUGCGGUCCUAUUUUGUUGGUUUCUAGGACCGCCGUAAUGAUUAAUAGGGACAGUCGGGGGCAUCAGUAUUCAAUUGUCAGAGGUGAAAUUCUUGGAUUUAUUGAAGACUAACUACUGCGAAAGCAUUUGCCAAGGAUGUUUUCAUUAAUCAGUGAACGAAAGUUAGGGGAUCGAAGACGAUCAGAUACCGUCGUAGUCUUAACCGUAAACUAUGCCGACUAGGGAUCGGGCGAUGUUCUUUUUCUGACUCGCUCGGCACCUUACGAGAAAUCAAAGUUUUUGG
rnacentral:rRNA from 1 species